CACUCCUCUCUUCUGGCAUGAUUUACCUCUCAUAAUAAAGGCUAUGAAGAAAGAAACGAGACUUGAGCUGACAAAGAAUUGUGAGUUUGAGUGACCUCUUAAUGUUCAAUACGGCUUUAUCUACAAGAGUACACACAGUCUUGGCUGAGGCUCUGCAGCCACUGGCCAAGCUCACCCAAGCGAGAUGAGAAAGUUCUGGAUGGCAGAUGUCGGGAGCCAAGGCAGCUGCGUGGCGUGGGGCUGCCUGCCGUGGAAGGAGCAGCUGCUGCCAAGCCCUGUGAGCAGAGAUGUGCUUGAGAAUUAAACCCCUACAUACAGAAGGGAAUCCUCGUCUGACGGCGUUUGUCUCCUUCCAGAGACAUUGCUUCCUGGUCCAGGUUGGGCAGCUGCUGCAGGAAAAUAUCUGGGACCAUGGAAUGGAAAUGGAAGCUUCAUUGAACAACAGCUCAUUGAUGUUUUGUGAUCUGGCCCAUUAGGUCUGGUCUGGAAACCUUAAGCUUGUAGCAAAGAUAUUUUGUGAAGGCUUGGGUGAAAUGCAAAUUAGAAAUGGUACCUGAUUUUUGCAGUAAAGCUGCAUUGCAAUCCUGUGAAGGAUCCCCUCAACAACAGCAAGACAUCAAUGGCAAUGCCAGGAUGUCAUUGUGGAGUGGUGCUCUGGUGAUUAUCAGUGAAUUGACAAUGAUUAGUGACUCACUGUUGCUCAUUCUUAAUCCAGCCCACUCCACCACUGCUUGUACUGCCUUGUGGGAAGCAAAUCUAAGCACAUGCAGAGGAAGAAGCUUCAGUGUUAUUUUGCUGGCAGCCUUCUAGAAACCUCCUUUGCACUGCAAAUGCUUGUUUGCUGCCCACGGAGUUUGCCAUUCGGCUAGAGAUUUUCUUCCAGCCCUACAGGGACUUCAGAGGGUAGACAUUGUAUAUUACUGCCAAAUGGUAAAAAAGAUAAAAAUUAUUUAAACCAGUGAAGCAUGAGAUGCACAUGUGUGUAUUGUGAAGGAAGAUAGCACAUGUUGUGAAUGAAAAAUUUGCUGGCAAGAAUCACUGCUGUCAAUCUCCUGAGGAAUCUCCCUGUGCUGAAGAGAUCAGCUCCUGUGGACCACGGUGGUACCCACCUCAGCAUCCUUAAGAAAGGACCCAAACGCAGAAAGGUUCAUAUAAGCUUCUUUUCUCCUGCUUCAGGCUUGAAGACACAUGACAUGUAGACAACUGUAGAUGGGCAGAAGUUCUGUUUGCUCUGCCUCCUAGUUUUCUUCUUUACUUCUAGUAAAACUCAGAUGAGGUUGAAGGGUAAUGUGGGUGCUGCCUGGCUCAUGUGCCUUGAGUCAUCCCAGCCAGAUGUGUCAGAACAGCUUGUAGGCCAAACAUCCCCUCACCAGACAUCACAAUUGUAUGACACCAAGAAAGGAGAGUAGAAGGGCAGCUGAGAAACUGAGGAAGUUCAGCUUCAGAAGGGCUUUUAACAGCCUGAGCUGGAAAAGCUGGAAAUGAACCUGCCACUGGAAAUAUCUGAUAUUAGCUGCAUCUGUUUCAGUUCUCUUAAAAUUCUAUGAAAGCUGUCCCUCUCCUAGUAUUGCCUUCUGCCUCUGUUGUGCCAACAUAUUUCCUUCAUGAAGCUGUCCAAUAAAACCUGAGCUUCCUUUAUGAUUAAGUACUAAAGUGCAAGCAAAUAGAGGCCCAAUGUAUUUUCAACAGGCAAUACUUCAAAAGAUAUAGAGAAGAAGAAGCUGCCUAUGCAAAUGGCUGUCUUUUUGGUAUAGGCUUCAUAUUUAAAGCAACAUUUCUCAGAAAUCAUACUGAAGGCAAAAACAUGCUCAGUAGCUAUAUGUUCAACAGCAUUGUUUCUGGAAAGAAAAAACAUUUCUCAUACUUGAAUGAAUUUAUAAAACAAGGCAAAGUGGUUUACAAUCACUUUGAGAAAAAAGUGGUAGGUGUGCUACAGGGUCUCUAGGCUUUGACUUUGCUCUUCAUGCCAAACAUAUUUUGUCACAUUUGCUCUCAUUGCUUUGAGCUGUUUCCUGGCAAAUUGAGCAAGUUCUGCUUACUGCAGCUAUGCAUCUUGAACAAACAUGAAUUUGUUUAUAUAUACAGUUUUGACGGAUGGAAUGAAAGCUGGCAUUUCAAGGCACAUUUCAAGAGUUUGCAUCCAUGGUUCUUGGCAGACUGGUACAUCCUGAAAAAAAAAUUCUUUCUGCCUCAAUGAUAUGAAAAACCUCAGCUAUAAUAAAUGGGCAGCCACAGGUAAAGUGGCAUCCACACAGCUGCCUGCCAGACACACUAGGCAGGUGUCCAGGCACAGAAUCAUAGGAUGGUUUGGGUUGGAAGGGACCUUAAGGAUCACCUAGUUCCAACUGCUCUGCCAUGGGCAGGAAUGCUGUCCACAAGUGCAGAUUGCUCAAGGCCCCACUCAACUUAGCUUCCAGGGAUGGGGCAUCCAAAAUUUCUCUGUGCUACACGUUCCAGUGCCUUACCAUCUUCACAGUUGAGAAUUUCUUCCUAAUAUCUAAUCUAAACCUGUCCCCGUUCAGUGUAAAUCCAUUUCCCUUUGACUUGUUGCUACAUGCUCUUGUCAAAUCUCCUUCUCUGGCCUCCUAGUAGGUCCCCUUCAGGUGCUGUAAUGCUGCUAUGAGGUUAUCUUGGAGCCUUUUCCUUUCCAGACCAAAUAACCCCUGUUCCAGGAGUUGGAACCCCAAUUUUCUCAACCUGUUUUCAUAGAAGAGGUUCUCAGCCCUCUGAUUAUCUUCAUGGCCCUGCUCAGGACUUGCUCCAACAGGUUGACAUCUUUCUUAUGUUGGAGCCACCAGAGCUGGAUGCAGUACUCCAAGCAGGCACUCAUGGGAGCAAAGUAGAAAGGGAAAAACACCUCCCUCAACCUCCUGGUCACACUUCUUUUACUGCCAGGCCAGGACAUGGUUGGCUUUCUGGGCUGCAAGUGCACAUUGACAGCUCAUGCUGAGCUUGUCAUCGAUGCACCAACACCCACAAGUUCUUCUUCUCCUCAGGGCUGCUCUCAAUCCAUUCUCUGCCCAGCCUGUAUUUAUGUUUGGGAUUGCUCCAACUCACAUGCAGAGCUUGCACUUGACCUUGCUGAAUUUCAUAGGUGUGCAUCUACUGAACAGGUCAGCGUGUCUGCUUCUGCUCCGUGAUGCCUGCAGCUGGUCAGCAGCCACAGGCCAGGCUGAGCAGCAGUGGCACAGAGUGUUGGAGUGGGAUGGAGGCCUUGGCUUUGUGGUGUAUAAAUGGAACAGUGCAGAUCACGCUGAGAUCUUGUGUGGAGCGUGAGGUGAGGCGUGCCUGCCGGAGGUGGCCAUGGCUUACCACCACCACCACCACUUCUCUGUGCCCUUCCUCAGCAGCCACAGCAGCUGAGAAACCUCAGCCUCAGCCUCAGACAUAACUCCAGGCAGCCCCAACGAGUGUCCCAAGGACACGUGCUCUGCCGUGCUCCUCACGCUUGUUGGACCAGGCUCUCCCCCUGCUGCAGCUGAAACCAAGGGACAAAACGCCCAUGGAAACUAAUGGGAACAUGGGCAAGCCCACUUCCCAUAUGGUGCCUGUCAACCACGUGCUUAGGAAACAUCUGAUAUAUUUUUAUUCAGAUCAUGUGCUCAGUAUAAUGACUGAGAUUUGUUAAGUCCUGAGACUGUAGACCUUAAGUAAUUCCCAAGUUUUGUACAAAUAUCCAUCUUUGUUCUUUUGUGAGAGGAUCACAUGCCGGCAUGAGAACUCAUAUGAUUUUGGGUGCAACUUAGAGAAGCCAUCUAAUUUAAGGUAUACUUAAGUGCUCCACAGCAAACUCUGCAACUCCGUUAGGGCAGUAUUUCUUUACACAAACCUGAAGUGGAAGUAGCUUGGGUUUUUUGAUGAAUAAUUGAGAAAUACUGAGGCUGAAUCUUAUAAUUUUUUACACUUCUGUGGGUUUUUUAUAGCUAUAGAAUAUCUACCACCAUGGCAGCUUAGUAAUUGUGAAGCUAUAAUGCUAUCAAUCACUUUUGUUGCAAAAUGAAUUAUAUUGUUCAUAAUAUUUAUUUAUUGAUAAUGUUUGAAACAUGAACAGGAAAAGUUUUAUACAAAAUUUUAGCUGAGACCAUAACCUUUGCAGUUAAAAUAUUUCUUGCAAUAAAGCUGCUAUAACAUAAAA